CGGCGUUGGUCAGCGGGUGGGCUCUGCCCGAGCGGAGCCCGGAACCCCGUGCCCGGCCGCCGCCGCCAUCUUCCGUUUCCCUAGCUACCCCCGCGAGGUAAGGGUCGCCCGGGGCAGGCGCCCUCCAGGCAGGGGUCCACCCGGCUCCUCCGCUCGGUUCCCGCCGGAGCGGCGGCCACGGUGGGACGCAGAGGUAACGGACCCCCGCCCGCCUCGGACCCCUGCGCACCCAGCCUCGGAUAGGACCAGCGCGGGUAGAGAGGAUGGGGUGACAGGGUUUGGAGCAACAUCUCUUCCACUCCCUUACGGUCUGGGUCCCUAGGAUGGACAGGAGGGUGGGGGAGGCAGGAAACCUCUGCAGCCCACCCCGUAGUGGCGAUGCCCGCACACCCCCUCUCACUUCUGGACAGCAGGGGCAACGCCGAUCCCUGGGGAAGAAUGGGAACCUGGAGCUUCCUCCCAGCACCCUUGGGUGCACCCGCCACCUCCUGAACCCCGAAUCUCUCCAGAGACACUUGGGCCUCGCCGCGCGGUUCCAGCUGAAUAAAAGUCCCCUCUGCCACCAAGACAGUCGGGGGCUGCCCCUCGUCGGUUUCCCCACCCCCAGCCCCACUCCGAGGACCGUACCUCUCCCGCCUCCGCCAGGGCCGUCGGGUCCCCUCAGCUCUCCUGACGGCGGCGUUCAGUUUCUGGCCCACCCCCACCCCCAUCCGGCGCACACGGAAGAGAAGAGCAUUUUCCGGGAGGUUCAGCUCCGCUCUGAGAACUUUUCGUUCAGAAAGAGCGAUCCCCUUCGGCUAACAGGAAACUGGGAAGGGCGUGGAGAAAGCGCAGAAACAAGAGACUACACGCAGCCCAAGACGACAGAACGCACAAGAAGUGUCUAAGCUGAAGCGCUAACCGAGAUUGCCUGGAAGAAAACAAUACACUCGAGCCAUGCGAACACCAGUACCCGAGACAAAAAGCCUUGGAAGUCCUGGCAGAGCCACUCCCUAGCCCGGACUAGAGCAGGAGGAAGUGGGAUCAACAGGCUGUAGCCACCGCGCACAACUCCCCUGCAAGCUGGCUGCGCGGGCACUUGGGAACCGCGGACUGGCAGCGGGUUGUGCACGCUCAACGUCAAAGAAGCCUCACAGGUGUGAGGGGGCUGCGGUGAGGGGGCUGCGAGAGAAGACAUUAAAACGACAGAUCCCUCUUGUCAUCCAAAGAGAACACCAAACUGGUGUUAGCUAUAUUUUUAAAUAGGACAAAAAGUCCCUGCCAGACUGUGGAGUCUCUCCACCUGGAGAAAGCAUUCAAUCUCUGUUAUGUUCAUGCCUUUCAGUACCAUUCCUUUCGUAUUUUUUCAGUUGACAUGACCUUUAAGGUUCCUCCAAACUAAGGUUCUAAUUUUUUUUUUUAACUUGCAGUCUUACUCCCAACAAGAAAUUUGAUAUAUUAGAGCUAACAGUUCUAAGAAGUUUUAAGAAAUAGUAUGCAAUCCCAAUACUGGACAUCACACUGUAAAUUAAAUUCAUUAAAAUGUAAAAUGUGUUUAGUUCAAAUAUUUAAAGACAGGAGACUGCUGCUAUGUAAUAAUAACAGAGAGGCUAUUUCUGCAGCUUCUGUUGUCUCCUUUAGGAAAGGAAGGAGUUGGGCAAAAUGAAUUUUAAGAACGCUUAGAACUCUACAAAUAUGUAAUUCUUUAUCUACAAAGAACAUAUUUCUGGAAAUUCUUAAAAGAGAAAAAUAAUCAAAAUAAUGGCCUUCAUUCCCACCUGUUUGGUCAUGGACAAGUCCAAUAUUUUGGAAAUGUAGACAAGGACACCUAGUAAAGGGUCUUUUGAAAGAAUAAACUUAGUUUAGUCUUCUCCUUUAAUGUAAAGAAACUAAGGCCCCAACUGACAAACUGAGACCAAAGUCAAAAUCAUGCGGUUAGUAUUCUAAUGUUCUAUUCACUUUAUCACACUGUAUAACAAAAGUCUGUCAGUUACCAUAUACUUCUAUUCAUACAUUAUGUGUUUUAUAUAGCAACAUUUUCCAGAAUCCAGGCAGCGAGUGAUUAAACUGAAAGGCAUUAUCUAAUGCCCAGCCUGAUUUUGUGAUUUUAACAGGUCAGAUUACGCAUCUCACUCUUUGAUUUGAACACUGAUUGCUUAAAGAUACUUAAAAAGUUUCAUAUCCCAGAGCUGAGCCAUUUAAUACCUCAAAGUAAAGGUAUUCCUUUCUCAUAAAGAUUUAACCUCAGAGCCAGCUUUGCACUUCUGCAAUCACCUCUUCUGAAGAGCCAGUUUCAACGAAUCCAUUAUUUAAGAUACCUGACUUACUAGCCUCUUCUCGGUCUUAUCUGUAAAUUAGAAGUUUUUAGAAUGAAUAUCUAAUUUGUGCACUGUGUACCUGCAAUGUACUUCACCUUCCUCAAGAGUAUUACAAGGUCAAGGUCUCAAUCUUUCCAACCAUUUCAACCAUGUAGCUCAAAAUAGCAACUGAAACAAUUUCAAAUAUGUGGUAUCUUACAUUAUUUAUUUGAUUUAUAAGAAUUCCUUGAUCUUUUCCUUACUUAGUGAUUUCAGAUUUUUCAGUAAUUGCUUAGAUGCAUCUUACAUUUUUAUUGUUACUUUGAAAUCUCUGUUCAGAACAUGUGACAAACACACUAUUAAAGACUUCAACAUAAGCUGUGUAGACACUGCAUUUAGGGUGAAAUGGAAAUAGGUGGUAGCUACCCCUAAAUUAGGUUUUUACUUAAUAGAGAUCCUGGCCCAUUAAAACAAAGAACACCUAUUAGACUGAAGAUGUGUAAGUCACAGCCAAAUUUCAUGUCAACUUUAUGAAUAUUCGUGUAUUAUUUUCUACAGAGGUAUUUUGAAUUGUAUUUUUACUGAUCACUACUCAUAACAAAAGGGGUUUUAUACCCAUUGGCAACUUUCAAAUCUCACAUAUUCUAUGGCUUUAUCUUAAAUAUUACGCCAUAAAUACGCAGAAUGUUACAUUUUAUAUCCUGAAGAGUUCAAAGUGUUCUAGGACUUGUGUUCCUAAUCAAUAAGGAACCAUGCAAAGAAUACUGCAGGUUGACCAAGUACAGGCAUUGAGAAGCUGCCUUAAUUAAAACUUAAGAACACGCUAUUUGCUACAUAUUAAGAAUUUAACAUUCGAAACUUUUAACCUAUUACCAUUUCCUUAGUUGUUACCUGAAUGAAAAAGAUUUGGGGAUUAACUGUGAUAUUAACUGCAUAUACAUAUGGUCAUCCUCGUAUCUGAGGCAAAAACCUUUCAUCAUCUAGACCUAAUGCAAAGAUGUUUAUAACCUCUCAUUUACAUUUUGGCCCUAUCCUUUGAAACUCUUUCCUUCCUAAUUUUCCUUUCGACCUGGAUAGUUUUAUCAGCGCUAACUAGUAUAAAACCAUUUCAAAAUAAAGCAAAUUUUUUUUCUUUUUUUAGAGACAAAGUCUUGCUCUUUUGCCCAGGCUGGAGUGCAAUGGCCAAUCACAGCUCACUGCGUCCUUAAACUCUGGGCUCAAAGGCUCCUCUGGCAUCAGCCUCCCAGGGUAGUCACAGGAUACCUGGGACUACAGACAUGCAUCACCAGUCCUAGCUAGUUUUGUUGUGGUUGUUGUUAUUUAGACAUCAUCUCCCCCUGGUCAUCUUCCCCAGGAUGGUCUCAAACUCCUGGCCUCAAGAGAUCCUCCCACUUCGGCCUCCCAAAGUGUUGGGAUUACAGGCAUGAGCCACAGCACCAAAAGCAAAUUUUAAUAAGUGUACUCUAGCAUCCCCCAACUAAGGACUACUUUGUAAAUACUUCCACAUUUUUGAAGUGUUGGCUAGAAUUCUAACUACCUAUUUUCCCCCCAGUAAGGCUUGUUUGGCUAAAUAUCUUUCUACCCAUCCAUGCCCACCACUAAAGUAUUUUUUAAUUGAUUAGAAAUUUAGUUUAUGCCUCUAUUUCCACUGAAAUUUGAUUGCAUUUCAAAGCUAGCAUUAAAGAAAAUACACAGAAACUUAGAAUGCUAAAAUUUAUCUUCUUUAGGCCCAAUGACUUCCCCAGAAUGCUAAGGCUGAUCGUUUAUUUAAAUGGUUCGCUUAACUAACUUCAGUUCAUCUCCCAAUCGUGUCGUAAAGUUCAGCAACAGCUCAACAUGGCUGCGUUUUAAGAAAGAAGUGCUGGGGCGGGCGCAGUGGCUCACUCCUGUAAUCCCAAAACUUUGGGAGGCCAAGGCGAACGGAUCACGAGGUCAGGAGAUCGAGACCAUCCUGGCUAACAAGGUGAAACCCCGUGUCUACUAAAAAUACAAAGAAUUAGCCAGGCAUGGUGGCACGCGCCUGUAAUCCCAGCUACUUGGGAGGCUGAGGCAGGAGAAUCCAGGAGGCGGAGGUUGCAGUGAGCCAAGAUGGCGCCACUGCACUCCAGCCUGGGCAACAGAGUGAGUCUGUCUCAAAAAAAAAAGAAGAAGAAAAAGAAAAAAAAGAAAGAAGUGCUGUUCUCUUUACUGUUUGUCAGCAUCAAUUCCUGAUACUGUGUUUACUCUUCUGCCUGAAUAGUUCCACGCAGAAUCACACCAUCAUGUUUUAGGUUCCAUCAAAAAUGAAUGAGGAGAGGCCAGGUGCAGUGGCUCAUGCCAGUAAUCCCAGCACGUUAGGAGGCUGAGGUGGGCAGAUCGCUUGAGCCCAGGAGUUCAAGGCCAGUCUGGGCAACAUAUCUAGAACUAUAGGUGCGCACCACCACGCCCAUCUAUACAAGAAAAUGCCAAAAUUAGCCCGGCAUGGGGGCAAGCACCUAUAGGUCCCAGCUACUCGGGAGGCUGAGGUAGGAGAAUUGCUUGAGCCCAGGAGGCAAAGGUUGCAGUGAGCUGAGAAUCAGGCCCCUGCACUCCAGCCUGGGUGACACAGUGAGACACUGCCUCAAACAAUGAGGAGAGUAAAUGGUUACAUGCAUGCUAUUGUUAUAUGUACAUGCCCUUAUGUUAUCCCAUAAGGGAUAAUGCAACAGGAUCUGUUCAUUAUUGAACAGAAUGAAUAUUAAGCGUAUUCAAUAUUGUUCAGUAUUGAACAUUCCUUUUCAUAAAUGUAAAUGAGCAUACUUUUAUGGUAAAGCAUUAAGUUGCCUAUAUUUGAAUUUAAAAAGCAAAUUUUACAUAACUCUGACCUGUAAUCCUAGCUCUUUGGGAUGCCAUGUCAGGAGGAUCUCUUAAGGCCACAAGUUUGAGACCAGCCUGGGCAGAUCCCACCUCUACAAAAAAAAUCCAAAAUGAGCCCAGCAUGGUGGCAUGUGCCUGUAGUCCUAGCUACUCAGGAGGCUGAGACGGGAGGAUCCCUCCUGGCUGCAGUGAGCUACGAUCAUACCACUGCACUCCAGCCUGGGCAACACAGCAAGCCCCUGUCUCAAAAAAAACAAAACAAAAAAGUUUUUAAAUUAAAAAAAAACUUUGAAAUGGAGUCCAAGUCAAAGCAGGUAUUCCUAACCUGAGGUCUUUGAGGAUCCACAGAUUGGUCUUAAAGAAAUCUGUGGUACUCUUGAAAUUGUAUUAAAAUGUUUUACAUAUAUAUAUACACACACACAUCAAUACAUAUAUAAAGCAUAUGUAUGUAACAUAUAUGUCACAUAAGUGCAUGUUUGAGGGAAAAAGGGUCCAUAGCUUUGAUCAGAUUCUUAAAGGGAUUGCUGACCCCAAAAAAGGUCACAAAUCCCCAAUUUUGAUGGAUUUUGUGUCCCUUCAAAACAUAUUUAAUCUGUCUCUCCACCCCCUUUUCCCCUUGCUCCAAAUGCCUGAAAGGUUUAACAUUUAAACACUACUUUUUUCCCUAAUGUAUCCCACAUUUAUCUUUAUAUGCCACUUUUUAGUAAUUUGGAUAAAUUGUCUUUUUUAAGAAGUUAAAUGAAAAUUCCCUUCAUUAGUUCUUCGAUGGACUUGGUGAUAUCUGUACGACCACAGGGUUUAGAAUAAAGUCGCUUGUAAAAAGUAUUAUUUUAUGCCACAUAGCCAUGAUCUCUGAAUGUAUUUUUUGUGACUUUCUGAUUGUAAACCAUUAACAUAUACGAAACAAGACAUUCUGUUUAGUUAAGAACGUUAGCUUUCUGAGGUCAAGGAUCUGUUUCUCUGUUGUUGGUAACUGCUAUCCAACAGUCCCGGAACAUAAUAGGUGCGGAAUGAAAAUAGGUGCAGAGCAAAUGAAAAGGCCUUCAGUGUUUAAAGAAAAUAAACCUAAUUUUUAAAAGAUGGCUCUGCAGUCUGAAUAAAGUAUUGUAGUCCAUUCACACAUUUAUG
rnacentral:lncRNA from 1 species